GCCUCCGUAGCUCAGUGGGCAGAGCACUGGUCUUGUAAACCAGGGGUCGGGAGUUCGAUUCUCUCUGGAGGCU